UCACGCCCCGGGACCGAUGCCAAUUUGGCCCGACCCGAGCACGUCAAACAGACGCCGAACGGACAGAGUUUCCCCUAUCCGCCCAAGGCUCAUCACAUGUACAUUUUCAUCGAUAGAGAAAAGCACUAGCGGAAACAUACACAAACGGCUUACACGAGGGUAAGCAAUAGCCAUUAGUGAAAGAAAAAGGGAACUAAACAUUCACUUGUACUAUGAUUCAUUUUAGAUCAUAUACAUGCAUUCAUCUAGUAAUUUAUCGAAUUCUUACAUUCAUUACAUCAUUUCAUCAUCUCUUUCUUACAUCACAUUCACCUCAAAAUAAGCUUUACAAUCUUUCUUUACAUCACUAAUCAUCAAUUACAAAAGAUGAUAAAAGGGUGUCUACUAACAAAAUGGAACCCAACAUCGGUGGCCUCUGACUAAGGCGCGAUACCUUUACC
rnacentral:lncRNA from 1 species